GUGGGCUGGCUUUCCCCAGUCCUGGUGCUCUUUGGCUCCCCAGCUGGCUAAGGUUGAAGGUGGGAGUGUAAGGAGCUCAGACUCCAGGACAGAGUGGGGUCAAUUUUCCCCUUAGUCACUGUCCUCUCCCCUCCCAAAUGGCUUCCCGUCUCACUGGCUGGGGGUGAUUUGGGGGUGACUCAGGUACAUCCUACACACCCCUGGAUUCUCUGGAAAUGGCAAGGGGCGGUGUGUUGUACACCCUGGCCACCAGCUGCCAUGGGCGGGGGAGGGGUGUAGCAGACCCAGUGGUUGGGGUGGGGGCUUGUUUCCCCAGCACGGCCGGCAGAGGAGAGAGGGGAGCUGGGGUCUAUGGAGGGUCUAGAAGGUGUGAGAGCCUGAGCUGUCGGGCGCCUCUCCUGCCUGUACCCUGGCCCCAGCUGAGCCCUGCAGCCUGGCCUCAGGCCAGGAGCCGGCUCAGCAGGUCCCAGGGGUGUGGUGGCUACCGGUGGUGGAGCCAGCCUACAUCGGCCAGGCAGUCAGUGCAGACAGCACAGUCCAUCAGGAGCAGCCGAGCGUGCGGUAGCGGAAGCCGGAGAGGCAGCGUGGCCAUGAGCUCGCUGCUGUACUAUGCCCUGCCCGCCCUGGGCAGCUAUGCGGUGCUGUCCGUCUUCUUCCUGCGCCGGCCUCGCCUGCUGCACACGCCCUGGGCUCCUGUCUUCCUGCCGCGCCUAGGGGCCCACCGGGCAGGAUCUGGAGAGCGGCUGGAGCACACCAUGGAGGCCAUGGAGAACUCCAUGGCCCAGCGAUGCGACUUCCUGGAGCUUGACUGCCAGUUGACACGAGACGGUGUGGUGGUGAUAUCACAUGACAAGAACCUGUCCCGCCAGUCAGGCGUGAAUAGGGAUGUGGACAGCCUGGACUUUGAGGAGCUGCCCCUCUACAAGCAGCAGCUGGAGGUCUACUUCUCACCAGGGCGCUUUGCACACGGGUCGGACCGGCACAUGGUGCGUCUGGAGGACAUGUUCCAGAGGUUCCCUCGGAUACCCGUGAGCCUGGAGAUCAAAGAGGAGAACGAAGAGCUCAUUAACAAGGUAGCAGACCUGGUGAGGCACUUUGACCGAAAUGAAAUCACCGUCUGGGCCUCAGUCAAGGGCUCGGUCAUGAAGAAGUGCAGGGCCGCUAACCCCGAGAUGCCGUUCUCCUUCACCAUCAGCCGAGCUCUCUGGUUGGUGCUGCUCUAUUACCUGGGGUUGCUGCCCUUUGUGUCCAUCCCGGAGAGGUUUUUCUUCUGCUUCCUGCCCACCAUCAUCAAUAGGACCUACUUCCCAUUUUCCUGCUCUGGGCUGAACCAGCUGGCAGCUGCGGUUUCCAAAUGGUUACUCAUGAGGAAAGGUCUGAUCCACCACCUGCAACAGCGAGGAGUACAGCGAACCUUUGUUGAGAAUGCACUCAUUACAGGCACUGUGGUACCAGAGACGGAGAAGGGAGCUUACCGUCAAAGCAGGGGCAGAGGAAGGAAACGGGCAAUUACAGGCACCAAGCGCACAGAAAGGAAAACAGCACUGUGGUCGGUAGGGUCACAGGAGGCCUUCUGGAAGAAACGAGGAGCUGGCUUGCACGGAGAGGAAAAGGAGAGGAAAAGGAGAGCAUCUCAGACAGGCUCAGGCUGUGGGAAAGCUGGGAGGAGCCAGAGGCAGGCGGAGGAACUGAGAGGUUCCCCCAGGCUGCGGAGUAGAGGAAGUGCGCACGGGGCCCUGGAGAAGGCGGCCCAGGCCGAGGCAGGCAGCCUGUGAACCUCAGUAAGGAACCUGGACUUCAGCCUGGAGGAAGGGAAGCUUUUGAGGGCCUGAAGCAAGGCAGAGACCUGAUCCAGCUGAGUCUGUGAUUAGGGGUCACCCUGUCCACCACGUGGAAAAGCGACUGCGGGGGCCAGUGUAGGAGCUGCCCUCACUGACGGAUCCUGGGCUGCAGUCCUGGGCUGCGGCAUCAGCAUGGGAUGGGCGGAAGAGCUGGCUGACGGGCCAGCACUCCGCAGCCUGGAUGUGGGGGUAGUCUUUUGGUGCCUUAAUGAAGAGUCGGAUUUUGAAGUGGCCUAUGGCCUGGGGGCCGCUGGCGUCAUUACAGAUUAUCC